CGGCGGACGGGUGAGUAACGCGUGGAUAACCUGCCUCAUACAGGGGGAUAACAGUUGGAAACGGCUGCUAAUACCGCAUAAGCGCACAGUACCGCAUGGUACGGUGUGAAAAACUCCGGUGGUAUGAGAUGGACCCGCGUCUGAUUAGGUAGUUGGUGGGGUAACGGCCUACCAAGCCGACGAUCAGUAGCCGACCUGAGAGGGUGACCGGCCACAUUGGGACUGAGACACGGCCCAA
rnacentral:rRNA from 1 species